CACGUAGGGCGCAAGCGUUGUCCGGAAUUAUUGGGCGUAAAGAGCUCGUAGGCGGUCUGUUGCGUCUGCUGUGAAAACUCGGGGCUUAACCCCGAGCCUGCAGUGGAUACGGGCAGACUAGAGGUAGGUAGGGGAGAAUGGAAUUCCCGGUGUAGCGGUGAAAUGCGCAGAUAUCGGGAGGAACACCGGUGGCGAAGGCGGCGAUCUGGACGAUGACUGACGCUGAGACGCGAAAGCGUGGGGAGCAAACAGG
rnacentral:rRNA from 1 species